rnacentral:rRNA from 1 species
UGGUGGAGUGAUUUGUCUGGUUAAUUCCGAUAACGAACGAGACCUCCGCCUGCUAAAUAGCGGCGCUUGGUGAUGCCAGGCGCCCGCUUCUUAGAGGGACGAUGGGUGUUUAGCUCAUGGAAGUUGGAGGCAAUAACA